rnacentral:lncRNA from 1 species
UCCUCACCACGAUUAUUAGGAGCUUUGUCCUCCGCACGAUUUAUUAGGAGCUUUGUCCUCCGCACGUUUAAAGUAUAUUUAUACUUAUGAUGACGAUUGGUACCACAUGCAUAUAAGGAGUCUAAGAGCAUUGUCGCAUUGUCAUGUCUAAGAUGCUUUGUUGAUAAUGAUUGAAUAUGUGAUUACGUGAUAAAUGUUUAUCAAAUAUGCUAUGUUGUUGAUGAUGAUUGAUUAUGUGAUUACGUGAUAA